GUAAGAUGUCUUCUCAGUCUGUAACUGUUCUAUCAUUUUUUAUAUUAACUGUUGCGGUCGGAGGUUUGUCAACCCGACGAAAAAUCCUCACUGACCUCGAGGAAGUCCUUCACCGUGGUAUCGACGACCAUAAGAGGUCGUUGAAUCAAGUGGACUACACCGUUGCGUACUGGAAUGUUCGGUUUAAUUAUUUCUGCUAACACGACUCCUGUUGGAUGUCUCACGUCGCCAACUAUGGUAUUCGAUUGCACGUAAACUGA
rnacentral:misc_RNA from 1 species